UACGUAGGGGGCAAGCGUUAUCCGGAUUUACUGGGUGUAAAGGGAGCGUAGACGGCGGUGCAAGCCAGAUGUGAAAUCCAGGGGCUCAACCCCUGAACUGCAUUUGAAACUGUCGUUCUUGAGUACUGGAGAGGUUGACGGAAUUCCUAGUGUAGCGGUGAAAUGCGUAGAUAUUAGGAGGAACACCAGUGGCGAAGGCGGUCAACUGGACAGCAACUGACGCUGAGGCGCGAAAGCGUGGGGAGCAAACAGG
rnacentral:rRNA from 1 species